rnacentral:rRNA from 1 species
UACGUAGGGGGCAAGCGUUGUCCGGAUUUAUUGGGCGUAAAGAGCGUGUAGGCGGUUUGGUAGGUCCGCUGUGAAAACUCGAGGCUCAACCUCGAGACGCCGGUGGAAACCAUCAGACUAGAGUCCGGAAGAGGAGAGUGGAAUUCCUGGUGUAGCGGUGGAAUGCGCAGAGAUCCGGAGGAACACCAGUGGCGAAGGCGACACGCUGGGCCGUACCUGACACUGAUGCGCGACAGCGUGGGGAGCAAACAGG